GGGGGGGUUUCUGUUUUGAUAGGGGAUGUGAAGCAGCUGUGUGCACAGGUGAACUGAGUUAGCUGAUGAGGUGGGAGCAGCGAGCAGGCAGAGAGCACAAGAGGUGAAGCGAAUGGAAAAUGGUUAAAGAGCAGAUCUGUGUCAUACUUUUGUCCAAACACCAAUGACAUGAAAAACCAAAUGAUCCAUGAUAUUCCAUGACACAGAUCUUCCUACCAGCUGAGAUCAGCCAGUGUGCCCUCUGGACUUGUAGCACAGUGGAAACUAUUAAUGCUGAGAUUCUGCCCUUCAGCUUCAAUACCUUUAAAACCCUGAAUUUGUCCUUUAUGAGCAAUGCCUGCCAGUCUUUUGUUUAUCUAAGAAAUCACAGCUUUGGAAUGAAAAUCACCAAAAUGCCACUUUGAUCGUCAUUUCCAACUUGAAGGUCAAAAGCAGCUCUACUACCUUUGGUGGUUUCCAGUCAUUGGCUCUCCUAGGCCAACUUCAAAUGUAAAAUCAAAUUGCAAGUGUUUUUUCCUUUCUCUCGUUAAACCGGGCUCCCCCCGUUUAAGUUUCCACACUGUGUUCUCUCAGGGGUCUCUACCUGGUAAACAGGAGAAACAUCUAAAUCUGUGGAAAAUGUGCCUCACAGUGUUGGGGAGCACCACUCCUUUUGCCCAGCAACUCUGCAAAGGCAUAAAACAUUACGACCAAAUCAGGUGGAGACCUCAGGCUGAACAAUAGUGAAAUGAGGAGUAAAAUAUGGAGCGAAAGAGAGGGGGGAGGGAUUCAUAACAGUGAGACAAGCAGGCAUUUACAAGUGUUUCAUGUUCACGCACUGAUUCGCUGCUGCAGUUGGAAAAGCUCCUUUAUGAGCUGAGAGAGAAACACAUCCGGGCGUUGCGCAGCUACACUCCUACACUUUUUUUAAUGACCUAACAUCACCAACGAAUCCAAACAUCCAGGCGACAUCCUGCAGGAAUUUUCAUCAUCCAACAUAAGCAGAGCCGAGCACGCCUCACUCUUUCUCUGUAGCGUGCAAAAGUGUAAAAACGUGAGCUCUUGGUGGAGGAAAAGGAUGUCGGGGAAAGCCCUGCUGAGGUGUCGCUCAUGGAAUCCCCCUCCGCACGCUGCGAGCUUGUUACAGUUUCCAGUCACUUGAGGGAAACACUUUUUUUAAUACACACACAUUCCUGCGCAGUCAACACGAAUAUACCGCCCCGCCAAGUCAUACACGACCUUUCAGAUGAAUGGAGUGAAUUUAUAUUCUUUAAUGAUCUUAAUUUCGUCUUGCCGUGUUAAUGGACUGUCAGGGAACAGAGCACCCAGACUGGACUGUUUUCUCUCUGAUAGGAGAAUGGUGUGGGACUUUAAAGAAAGAGAAUAAAAGCCUCCUUAUGUGUUUUACAGCCUCUCUUAUAAGGUCACACUCACACCGUGGUCACAGCUCGGUAACAGUUGCACGGCCACGGUUGAUUUCAAGCCUCUGAUUGAUGCUCUUCAAUAAUGAUCUCCAAAUCCCACGCUGUGAGGUUCACUAAUUGUUAAAUAGACUGAAAUAUGGGUUUGUAUUUGAGCAGCAGCAUGACGAACUUUUGACCCGGGACCAUCUGUUAGUUUCGCAAAAAAUCUAAGACUUUGUUGGGAUUGUUGGCAUCAAAGGAUUUGUUAAAUAUUUUACAUCCAUCUCUGCUAGACAGACGAUUCAGCAAGUGCAUGAGGGCUGCGGGACAUGAUGUCUGAUUUAAAGUUUCCAGAUGCAGGAGGCUUUUUUUAAUGGCCUUUACUAGCAUUUUAUUCAGAAGACCUUUUCACAUUUGUUUUGGAAAUGUCUUGGCUGAUUGUCUUUGUGUUUUUUAUUUAAGGUCUUUGCAAAGAGAGGAGAAAGAGUAACAGAGAGCGUGUUUAAGUCCCACUCUGAUAUUUUUUUUUCUUCUAUUUAAAGUCUUUAAACAACGAAUAUGAAGUUUUUAGCCAAAAUCCAGUGACUCAUCAGCAAUUCGUCUCUGAGUCGUGGGCGGAGCCAGCGCUGCUCUGCAUACUUCUCUUCAAGUUAGCUUGUAGCCUAUUAUUGCAAUUUUAGUAGAAGAGACACUAAUGUCUUUAGGAGCAUGAUGAAAGCUGACAUCAUAAUAAGCUUUCUUACAAGCAUUUCAAUCCGCUAACGCAGACACUUGUUCUGCGAUCGUCAUUCUCUAUUUCUCUGAGUCUGGUGGGGCUCUGGGGGCGGAGCUUAGAUUUAUGACGUAUGAAAUCUCACUGAAUCUGAGCCUGCUGUUUGGGUCUGCCAGAGAAUCACAGCGAUUUGAAUACAGAAAUACUCAUGAUAUGUCUUUUAGUUUUAGAAAAAUACCAUAUGAAUAUUUAGACAACAAGAAAAACAUGAUUUCCAUCAGAGUGUGUCUUUAACAGUCGGAGUGUAUAUGUUUAGAACAUAGCAAGGGGCAAUUUUCGGUUGAUUCGGGAAAUGCCAUCUUUGGUUUGUCAAAAUAGGACACAGGUGGAUAAGGCAAUCCUACCGUUGGUCUUAAAAACAGGAAGAUGCAUAUGGCAAAAAAACUGGUGAGACGUAAAAUGAUAAAUCACAUGUUUAAUACUCCCUAAAAUGAGCAGAAAGGAGCGAGAGCAAGGGUAACGCAAAGUUCACCCUGCCGCCCAAGAGCAGACAGGGGAAGUGAGGACACGACAAAGGUGGUAAGUUCAUCAUGUGGCACAAAUUUCUAUUUCACAUUUUAAGAAAUUUCCUUUGCUUUUAAACUGAAUACCUGUCUAUGAUUCGAGGGUAGAAUAUAAUUAUGCUUUGGGUUUAGAAAAUCUCGGUGAUUGAGGGUUUGGGACUGAAGCUUGAUAGAUCAUUUUGGUGAAGCUAAAAAUAGAUGAACCUGAACUAGUCCAUUUUAAUGUUUAUGAGCUACACUUCGAGCAAACUCAUUUUUAGUGCAAACUUGUACAACAUUUCAUUUAAGUCGGUAUGACCCUAGUUUUGUCCUGUGGCACUAAAAUCAUUAUUUUUGCGGACGCUUAAUGAACCCAGCUUUUAUUUAAGUAAAUUUAUUUAUAACUCUCUGUAUUCAUGUAUUAUGCAUUUAUUUAUGCAGAUGAAUAAGGUUUUAACAAUCAGUAAACUGAGCCUCAAGUGGCUUUAAAGGGUUGAUUGAUUAUGCAUGCAGUGAAAGGAGGAAGAUGAUGAAUUUAUCAAAGUGUUCCUCGCUGUCAGCUCAAAGCUUUCUUGACAUGUGUGGGAAAAUGUCACAAAGUUAGGGCAAGGUCACGCUAAUGCACCCACUCACACCCACACGAAGAUACACAAGUGAAAAAAGCAUAAAAACACACCUUUUUUUACACAAUAUUAUACAGUGAUUAAUGACCUUUCAUACAGUCUUUAUAUUACACUGAUAAAUGAUGCUUAAAAUAGGAAUUAAUGACCUCCACCGCUCCUUCAUACAUGCACCUUAAUGGCAAUUUGCAUGUGUAAUGCCUCGUGCAAGAAUGAAGAUAUUUAGCUGUCAACAAAUCCCCCUGGGUGUCGGACCGGCUUUUGUCUUCCCCUGCUUGCGGUCUUACUUCACAACCUUAGAAAUCAAAAAAAGGAAAAGGCCUCUUUCCCUGCAUUCAUGCUUCAAAGUAAACAUGUUUUCUAAUUCGGUUCUACAUGCAAAGCUGUCAGCCCUCCUCUAUUCACACAUCACGUUAGACAUUUAUUUAGCACAUGCAUGCACAGUCAUGAUACAGACUCCUGAAAAACACACACACAUUACAAUAGCAACCUGUGUUCCUGGAUAUACACAUCUCUAUCUUCACCAGUCUCUGGCACGGUCCUGCUGCCCUCUCUUUGUGCUCCAAACAACGUCUUCCCGUCUUUAUAGAAAGCCUCUGAUGGGCCUCUUUGACAUGUAUUGUUUGUGCAAGAGAAUUUAGACCCUCAGCCCCUGGCCUUGGCCCUCAUCUGCGAUCCAACCAUAGGCUGAAGCUGCCACUGUGACUAAUGCUGUGUAGACGUGUAGACCUCUCUGAGCGUGCGUGUGUGUGUGUGUUGGAGAAAGAGAGAAAGUGUGACUAAUGCUUACAGAAUGGUAUUUAUACAUUAGGGGGCCAUUAGUAGUUUAGGCUCCUGGGUGGAACAGCAGGGAGGAAGACAGGCAUUGUGGCGGCCCCCGUUACCCCUAUCACAGCCAGCCGCCACUGAUCCUGCAGCACACACGGCCACUUUGAGGAUGUUAGAGGAACAAACAGCAGCUGACGGCGCACUGGAAUGUGUUUAAUGAAUAAACUGCUUAGCAUCCAAAUCAUCAGCAACAUGCUGCAGUUUAGUCUUUAAGCUUUACACCAUGCUGCAAGAUAACUGAUUUCCCUGGACUUAUUCCAAUUUAAUCAUCAAUAUGACGGCAUAUUUUAAUGUAAGAGAAAGAAUCUUGAAAAUUAAAACUCUAUAACAAAAGAAAAGAUAUUAAACUUUGUGAUUAGUGUUAGUUUACAGAUUGUAAAAGUAGUGAACUCUGGAAAAUAUCAGGCCGGAUACAAGUCUUUCAUGUUGUUGUUUUUGUAUUUUUAAGCAGUUUUAGUCUUUAGCAUAACUUGGCUGAUUAUUUACCAACUCGGAUAAGAAACUAUCUCAUAGUCGUGUCAGGGGCUAGCUAAUAUUAGUGCUAAGUUGUAUUCAUGUUACAUGUUGCAGAAAGUCUUGUUUACUUUUUGUAUACCGUUAAAAAAUACAUGAGUGUGAAUUUCAGUUUAUUUCCAAAACAUUUUUAAAAAAUCACAAGAGCUUUAAAUUUCAGAUUGGUGAUUUGGAGGGGUUCAUGGUUGACCAAGAUAUCAAAAACCUGUAUAUGUUUUAUCAGUUUGAAUUUCAAAUAUCUGAACUUCUUGUCCUUUUUUCUGUCCUCAGAGUGCUGCUCCUGCCCCUGAAGUGGAUCUGGUAUUAGUCUAUGAUCCAGUCGACGUCUUCAGGGAGCUGAUUAUUUCUUCCAAAGAGGUAAGCAGACACUAAGUGAUGAUGAAAAAAAAGGAUAAUAUCUAAUAGAGGCUGAUGUGUGGACUGUGUGGGCUCUAACUCUUCUUUACUUUCUCAUAGCGGUUAAUGCUACAGCCUUGUCAGCACCAUUAAUCAUCUUGGCCCACAAGCAGGAAGUGGUAAGAUA